UUGAGUUCCUGUCCUCACUGCUUCUAACGAGGAACUGUUGUAUGGAACUUGACUUGAAGAGACCCUCCACUAUGUGUGUCAUGUCUUCAUGUUCUGCCUUGCGACGUGACCAAAAGCAAGGGAACCGAAUGACCAUGGAAUGGAAUUUCUGAAGAGGAAAGAAAUUUCUUUGGCCGACUUUGGAAUCCCUUAAGUAAACUCUGACACUUGCUGUCCUCGGGAGAGACUUGCCUUCCCUUUUUAGGCUCAACACCUCUUCUUAACAUAAUGAUUAGAUUCAAGACCUGCAAUUCAGUCAAGAUGCAGUCACAGGUCACUGUUCUCCUAUUAUCACAGCUGGGCAGCAAUCCUCGUUUUCUUCUUCAAGAACAGCGAGUGUAUUCAUCUCAGUCGUGCCAUCCUGGGCAAUGUCAAACACCCCUCACAUUCUUUCUCGAGAAGCUGGUCUGUUAGGCUUCUUUGUUUUAUAUUAUUUCAGAGUCCAUGAGGCAUGUGUCAAAUGUCUCCUUUUAAUUUUUCUAUGUUUGCCUGAGAGGUCAGUUCCAACUGGAUAUGAUCCCAGCAGCUGAAAAUGGAAUAUGGAGGUUUCAGAACCAUGGGCACAGAGAAUGGAAAUUUGAAGGGCAACAUAAUUGCCCAGUUUUCACCUAUCUAUAGGCAAAAGUAGGUAAUGUUCCUCACACAGCUGUGCCUUAAGCAACAGAGAAAGACUCUCUUUAUCAUAUGCAUGUCUCUUAAGACUGAUGACUAUAAUUGUUGGAGAUUUGGAGCAUAGUAAACUAGGCCAACUUUUGGAAAAAUCUGCCUUACUGAUUAAUGGGCAAAAGGAAGAGAAAUGGGUUCAUUGUUUCUACAUCCAUGUAAUCCCAGAUCUUGGGACAUGAAAGAAGAUGUAUCAGGUACUAGGGGCCACACCUUUAGAUACAUAGAAUUUCAAAGACAGACUGGGUUGCAUGAAAACCUUUUAGAUACAUAGAAAUUUCAAGGCCAGACUGGGUUACAUGGAAGCCUAUCUCAAACAAAACAAACAUAAAUAAAUUUUUAAUAAGGAAAUGAAAAUAACUCUGUAAAAGCACUGUGACCUCUGAAUGGGCUUGGAAAUCUUAGGGUUGUAGCCAUUAGUAUAAGAUGAUGUUUUAUUAGCAUUUGGUUCCCCUUUGAGAAACACCCAUGCUAAAAUAAUCAUAAUGAUAGGAAACUUCCAGUAAAGAAAUCUGAGACAAUAUAUGCACUAAAUAGGGUUCUUUGAAAUUUUUUGAAUAAUUUUCUUUUUUAAUAAAAAAACAAUUAAUUAUACAAUGACUGUAGCAAAAAUAGUUUACUUAUCUCUUUAAUACCAUAUUUUUAAUGUCUGAGAAAUUUAUACAUUGUGUUUUGAUCAUAUUAACCCUUUAUUCCUAUACUCAUCUCAGAUUCAUUUAUUGCUCCUCGCCCCUCCCAAAUUUGUGUUUCUAUUUGCUUGUAUUCCACUGAGUCUAAUUGUGAUACCUAUAUUCUCAUGGAUAUGAGGUCAUCCUUUGGAGCAUGGAAGGCUACACCCUUAAAGAAGCUACCAACUAUCAAUAGGUCCUUAGCUAGGGCUAGGGACUCAUGAGCCUUUCUUCCCAUUCUGCUAGACUGUUUUGGGGUUUGUUCAGGUCUUGAGCAGGCAACCACAACUGCAGUAGCUCAUCAUUUUAUGCAUUUUUAAUGAGUGAGCACAAUGUGACUGCUUCCCAUUUAUUAUUCAACAGGCACCAGCAAAGUUUCAGGCUCUUCUCCAGUUUCAGAAUUGAUUUUGCUUUGACACAGCUACAUAGAAUAAAGAAACCCUUUUGAAUAUCCUUAGAUAUUCAAAUUUUCAUUGCCAUAGUGACUUCCUAGCCCUGAAUGGUAGCUCCUCUUAAUGGUUUGAUGCUGUGGUGGUUCCAGAGACAGAAUGACUUGGACUUUUGUCACGAAUAAUGUUGGUACACCUGAGCAGCUAUUUCUCAACCUUUGUUUCUAGUAGAUUGGGUUGUACUGUUCUUCCUGAUAACUUGAACAAUCUUGCCCAUAGACACUGGAGUGCUGCUUUGCUUUGAAGCAUGAGAUUAUUGUAUGUUGGCUACAUUACAAAUAAAUUUAACCUCAGUCAUCCA